CUGAUGCAGCAAACCCAGAGGUGCUCGGGCUAUGAACUGCCAUGCUUAGAGGUGCUGGGAGAGGUGCUCAGGCCUGGCACAGAUUAAGCACUGUGUUUAGUAAAGAUGACUGCAUGACCAAUACCAUGGCUCCAAUUCAGUAAUUACCGUUCUCCAGGGAUAACUAAGUUCACCAGAAGCAAUGAUGUAAGACUGUGCAAAAGAAUAUCAAUGCUCAGUUUUAUUUAGUUGUAUUAUCUAUAUUCCAC